GAAGCAAGGACAAGGCUGUUUGCUGAGCUGGGUACAGCCCGGGAGGUCGAGGCAGUGGCUCCAGGCAGCAGCGUGGUUCCCAGGUCCUCUUCCAGGAACGUUCCUAGAAGGCCCCUCCACCCAAGCACCCAUCCCCAGAACCCCAUUUGCCUGGAUGGGGCGGUGCGGGCUGACUCAUCCCCUCCCUGGGCUGGAAGCCAGCACUCAGCUACCUGUUGGGCCAGUCAAGUAGGGGCGGGGCAGUCAGUCAGCCCCUCCCAGGCCCUGCCCUCAGGCCAAUCCGGAGCAGCGCCCCAUCAGCCCCAACACAUGACCAGGGCUGGACCCCAGGAAGUGAAGAAAGCCAGCGGUGAGCACAUGGUCAGUCACCAAAGCCCUAACACCUCACACCGGAUGAACUAUGAUCCCAGAACACGUAUGAGGUUGGGGUGGUCUCAUUCCAGCCCCAGAAAUGCUUGUUGAAUGGAUAACUCGGUGAAUCAAUGAAUGGAGCCAUUCCCAGAACCUCCUGAAAACUCACCCUGAGCUUUCAACAUUGGGCAACUCUCCGCGGAGCCCCAGCCAUGCGCUCCAUCUGAGGAAAGGCUUUCCUGCAGCUGUCUCAGCCAUCCUUGUCACCUCUCAUCUCCCACUAACAUGGCAACCUUUCUCUGCCUCCAUGCUGCCCCCACCACCCAGUCUAGACAAUUCCGUGUGUCUGCAGCCUCCCCCAGCAGGAUUGCUGCUGUUACAGCCAUAGUCACUGCCCACGUGGUGAGUGGUCGGGCUCUAGCUCUCUCCUGCUCCCCAUGUCACAGCUGUCCCCUGUUCACCCCACCCAACCUCCUAUAAUGGCCUGUGUAAGAACACUGACUUUUUCACUUGCUGUUCCAGGUCCACUGAGAGCCCACGAUGCCAGCCAAGCCCGAACCGAGUCCUGGCCCUGCCAGCCCCAUAGAGUCCUGUGGGUGACCCAUUCUUUAUUGGGAGCGUUACCUACUGUCUGGAUGCCAGCCAUCAGGGAAGACUGAAACCCCUCAGAUCAGGAGUCCAGCCUGAGCUGGCAAGGAGUUUGUGCCCCUUUGGAGGCUGGAAUGCUGGACGCCAGUUCCGUCCUCAGGUGCCAGGACGUGGCCUGAGCAUUGUCUCCAGUCUGGUUCCAGCUUUUUCCCCAUCAUUGACCCACUGCCCAGACCUCUGCAUGGUUCCUGGCUACCGAGAUCUCUUCACAGCAACCAAAGAGUAUCUGAGCUUAGAAGAUCCUAAGGAAUCGCCCAGUCUGGUGGAGAUGCUCUAGAGUAUUCAAAAACAUAAUCGUCUUUUUCACUGGAACAAUUAUUAGGGGUGUUUCUGCACUGGGUGCUGUGGGAUAGAGAAGCUAAAUGUCCCACAGUGCACAAGGCAAUCUGCACAGUGACAAUGGCACCUCUUCCUUCGCUGGAUAAACAGUGAUUCUAGUCGAAAGUGCUUAACUGUGUAGUUG
rnacentral:lncRNA from 1 species